rnacentral:lncRNA from 1 species
AAUCCUAAUAUAGUUCUAAAAAAAUCCUAAAAAAAUUCUAAUGAAAUCCUUAAUAAAUUCUAAUAAAAUUCUAAAAAAUCCUAAUAAAAUCCUAAAGUGAUUCUAAAUAAAAUCCUAAUAAACCAUAACCAAAUUCUUAUAGGUAUUUUGAAACCCCAUUUGAUUAAACAACUGAUUUCAACUAAAAAAAAUACUCACAUUUUAACUUUUAAGCAAAAAUCAAGUACAUAAAGUUUGAGAAAAAUCAAACUUAUCAAUUGAAAGAAAGAACUGCUAAUACUCUUGGAUGUUUGUCAUCCUCCUUCUCUAAUAUAAAUGUUGAUCUUCAUAUAAUAAUUACUCUUUGUUUAAUUGUUCAAUUGCUCUCUA